UUGGUGUUCAAUGCUAUACCCUCUAAAAAAUGGAACGUCAUUUAUUUGAAGACACAAUUCUCUGUAUGUGCACUUGCCAUGACUUUAUUUUUGAAUAUUUCUGUGUGCAUGUGGUAGGGAAAACAUUGUUGUAUACUACAAAUUCAGUGUUUUGCUUAUAGGUUGGAGACUACAUGAGAUUUUGACAGAUGGCGGGAAACCCUCAUCAACUGGAGAUCAGCCGGUAGAGGAAUGUCUGCGACUAAGCCGAGGGCCACUGCAUAAGGGUUAUUGAUGGCAAAACAGGUUGGAGACUACAUGAGAUUUUGACAGAUGGCGGGAAACCCUCAUCAACUGGAGAUCAGCCGGUAAAAAGGUGGCCUUAAAACAGUGACCGUUGAUUCGCGUCGAGUUCUUUCUUACAUACUGCAUGACCUAUCUUUUUUAUUGUUUAAAUCCAUUCGGCUUGGCAUGCUCUUUAAGAAAAGGUAUGGGUAUGGGGGUGUCUACGCGCAAAAGUUUGACUUUAUUUUUCGUUGAAGUUGUUGAUUUUACAUUGAAUUUGUUAAGGAAA